rnacentral:rRNA from 2 species
AAAUUGAAGAGUUUGAUCAUGGCUCAGAUUGAACGCUGGCGGCAGGCCUAACACAUGCAAGUCGAGCGGUAGCACAGAGAGCUUGCUCUCGGGUGACGAGCGGCGGACGGGUGAGUAAUGUCUGGGAAACUGCCUGAUGGAGGGGGAUAACUACUGGAAACGGUAGCUAAUACCGCAUAAUGUCGCAAGACCAAAGUGGGGGACCUUCGGGCCUCAUGCCAUCAGAUGUGCCCAGAUGGGAUUAGCUAGUAGGUGGGGUAACGGCUCACCUAGGCGACGAUCCCUAGCUGGUCUGAGAGGAUGACCAGCCACACUGGAACUGAGACACGGUCCAGACUCCUACGGGAGGCAGCAGUGGGGAAUAUUGCACAAUGGGCGCAAGCCUGAUGCAGCCAUGCCGCGUGUGUGAAGAAGGCCUUCGGGUUGUAAAGCACUUUCAGCGGGGAGGAAGGCGGUGAGGUUAAUAACCUCAUCGAUUGACGUUACCCGCAGAAGAAGCACCGGCUAACUCCGUGCCAGCAGCCGCGGUAAUACGGAGGGUGCAAGCGUUAAUCGGAAUUACUGGGCGUAAAGCGCACGCAGGCGGUCUGUCAAGUCGGAUGUGAAAUCCCCGGGCUCAACCUGGGAACUGCAUUCGAAACUGGCAGGCUAGAGUCUUGUAGAGGGGGGUAGAAUUCCAGGUGUAGCGGUGAAAUGCGUAGAGAUCUGGAGGAAUACCGGUGGCGAAGGCGGCCCCCUGGACAAAGACUGACGCUCAGGUGCGAAAGCGUGGGGAGCAAACAGGAUUAGAUACCCUGGUAGUCCACGCCGUAAACGAUGUCGAUUUGGAGGUUGUGCCCUUGAGGCGUGGCUUCCGGAGCUAACGCGUUAAAUCGACCGCCUGGGGAGUACGGCCGCAAGGUUAAAACUCAAAUGAAUUGACGGGGGCCCGCACAAGCGGUGGAGCAUGUGGUUUAAUUCGAUGCAACGCGAAGAACCUUACCUGGUCUUGACAUCCACAGAACUUUCCAGAGAUGGAUUGGUGCCUUCGGGAACUGUGAGACAGGUGCUGCAUGGCUGUCGUCAGCUCGUGUUGUGAAAUGUUGGGUUAAGUCCCGCAACGAGCGCAACCCUUAUCCUUUGUUGCCAGCGGUCCGGCCGGGAACUCAAAGGAGACUGCCAGUGAUAAACUGGAGGAAGGUGGGGAUGACGUCAAGUCAUCAUGGCCCUUACGACCAGGGCUACACACGUGCUACAAUGGCAUAUACAAAGAGAAGCGACCUCGCGAGAGCAAGCGGACCUCAUAAAGUAUGUCGUAGUCCGGAUUGGAGUCUGCAACUCGACUCCAUGAAGUCGGAAUCGCUAGUAAUCGUAGAUCAGAAUGCUACGGUGAAUACGUUCCCGGGCCUUGUACACACCGCCCGUCACACCAUGGGAGUGGGUUGCAAAAGAAGUAGGUAGCUUAACCUUCGGGAGGGCGCUUACCACUUUGUGAUUCAUGACUGGGGUGAAGUCGUAACAAGGUAACCGUAGGGGAACCUGCGGUUGGAUCACCUCCUUACC